rnacentral:lncRNA from 1 species
AGGCAGUAAUCUAAAUCGUAAAUAAGAAUUAAUCUAAAGAGUAUAGUCGAAGAGAUAACAGAUAUUGCAUUGAAAUCAUAAAUCUAAGAGUUUUAUCUAGGCAAUAAAUGAAAACUUACAGUAAUAUAAGUGGAAAAUAAAUCUCUAACUACUGAAUUACUUUAGGCGUCAGGAUGAAAAUCAAAGCAAUAACCCUAACUAGGAAAUCUGGUGUCUGGAACAAUCGCUAGAACUGCAUAUGGGAAAGUGUGCCCUAGCGAAAAGAGAAAUAAUCUAUUUAUACUCUAGGCGUGAGGAAACACACCCAACGGGCGCUGGGUGUUGAGUGAGUAAUUGAGCGCCGCUGGGCUUGAGCGAAGGAGUUGAGCGCUGUGGAGAUUUGAGCGCAGGCUGGAAUGGUGGCUGGGAUUUGAGCACCGCUGUAAUGGUGGCUGGAGCACCGGCUGGGAAUUUGAGCGCCGACUGUAAUGGUGGCUGGGAACGGCUGGAACACCCCACGAGCUGGGCGAAACGGCUGGGACACCCCACGAGCUGGGCGAAACGGAUGGGGCACCCCGCGAGCUGGGAUAAAUGGCUGGGACACCUCGCGAGCUGGGCGAAACGGUUGGGAAACCCCGCGAGCUGGG